UGCGCAGGCGGCUCCCCAAGUCAGAUGUGAAAUCCCCGGGCUUAACCUGGGAACUGCGUUUGAAACUAGGGAGCUUGAGUGUGGAAGAGGGGGUGGAAUUCCAGGUGUAGCAGUGAAAUGCGUAGAGAUCUGGAGGAACACCGAUGGCGAAGGCAGCCCCCUGGGCUAACACUGACGCUCAUGCACGAAAGCGUGGGAGCAAACA
rnacentral:rRNA from 1 species